UAUUGGGCAAUGGAGGAAACUCUGACCCAGCAACGCCGCGUGCAUGAUGAAGGUCCUCGGAUUGUAAAGUUCUUUUCUAAGGGAAGAAGAAAGUGACGGUACCUGAGGAAUAAGCCACGGCUAACUACGUGCCAGCAGCCGCGGUAAUACGUAGGUGGCAAGCGUUAUCCGGAUUUAUUGGGUGUAAAGGGCGUGUAGGCGGGAGCGCAAGUCAGAUGUGAAAACUCAGGGCUCAACCCUGAGCCUGCAUUUGAAACUGUGUUUCUUGAGUGCUGGAGAGGCAAUCGGAAUUCCGUGUGUAGCGGUGAAAUGCGUAGAUAUACGGAGGAACACCAGUGGCGAAGGCGGAUUGCUGGACAGUAACUGACGCUGAGGCGCGAAAGCGUGGGGAGCAAACAGG
rnacentral:rRNA from 1 species